rnacentral:sRNA from 1 species
UCUGUUAACGGGUUGGUCCCCGUUAGCUUCCCGGUUAACUUUGGUCGGUGACCCGGGGUAAAGAAGCCCACUUCGGUGGGUUUUUU